UUUAUGGCUCGGGGGACUGUGCUUGAACAUAAAAGUUUGUUCAAUGACACAGACGUACAUACGCACACACACACACACAGAGAGAGAGAGAGAGAGAGGGAGUCAUGAACAAGGUUUGAAACCCAUUCAGCUUAGGAGAUUUCCUAAACUAUGCUGACAGUGGCAGGUGGUGAUGUCAACAUACAGCCUGCUUGUUCUUUUAGCCUGUGCAAAGGUGUGGAGGUACCUAUAAUACUAUGUAUACAGAACUCUUCAUGCAUUCCUGAUUCCAGAGGAUGGCAUUUAGUAAACAGAAGUGCGUGUCAGGCGGCGCGGGGACAGGCCUGGGCGUACAACCUGCCGGCCCGCGAGGGGUGACUGCCAAUAAACCUCAGCCGAGGGGAUGGAGGAGGACGUUUUCUAAACCUCCUCCAUGUCAUCGCCACAGCUACUGGGAGCACCUCCUCCAUCGCUCUCGACCACCACCUCUCACCUCCGUUGCCCUAUGGCUCCCGGAGGAGGUCACACACCUGCCUCCACUUCUUCCCUCCUCCACUUCACCCGUUCUUCUUCUUCUUCUUCUUCUUCUUCUUCUUCUUCUUCUCUGCCGCUCUGCUCUCGCAGGAACUCUUGGGCCCUGGGGUGUUUUGAACAUUUUCAACUCUAGGCUCUAUUUAAGCACCGACAUAAAGGAACACUGCAAAGACAAAAAAUAAAAG